GCAAUGCUUCUGAACUUCGCGUUUUUAAGUCGUUUGUUCGUUGCAAACCAAGUACGUAUAAGGAAAAUUAUUUAAAAAUAUUGCUUACACAACAUCAUUUUUCGCUGCAUUUACGAAAAAGUUAAAGAGCAAUAGAUUCUCGUUGUUGAAUUUGAUAAAGUCUGUAUAGUGUAUUUUGUGCAUUAGCAAUGGAUUCAUUGAUGAUAAGUUGUGUGAAAGUAUUAAAGAAUGGAUAUCAAUGGAUGGUCAAGGAUACAAAUUCUGAUGAAAGAAAGGAGAAGAAAGAACAAAAUUUGGUUGAUCAGCUAUUGAAACGUUGGAGUUUGGCAUCAUCUUUAAAUAAAGCAUACAAAAAUGUCGAUAGAUGGACCAUUCAUGUUCAAGAUUUAAUGCAUCCAACAGAAAAAGUUGUUUUACACCUUUAUGUAAAAUCACUAGAAGAGUUUAAGAGAUUUCAAACUUUAUUGAGAAGUCUUGUCAGCAAUCAUUCAAAAGACUUUCACACCCAAAUAUUGAACAAUAAUAUUUUUAAUAUUCUUGUCACCAAACCUGGUCCUGUGCUGAUUUCGAUCGUAUCACAGGGAUCCCAAGAUAGUUCUUUAGAUUGUUCCCAAUCAGAGUCUUCCUCUUUGGUCUUGGUUUUGAAAACUUUGAAACAGUUACUUAAUGAUCUUUCCUUGUCUACCCAAAACUAUGAAACAAACUAUAAUAAGACAGACAAAGUUGAAAUGAUUCAUGAUGUUCCUCAUGAUCCCCAUAAUUCACUAGAUGUUCUACUACAACAUCACAUUGACGACUUCAAGGCAGCAUGUAAUGAAGAAAAUUUUUCUUCUUAUAAAAAUGAUGAAAGAAAAUUUGAUAUGUUUACAAACACAGAUCAUUCUUCUAGUGAAGUUGAACGUUUGAGAGAAGAAAAUGAAAGGGCGAUAAAAAUUAUUCAAUCUUUAAAUGAGGAAAUCCGAGAUACAAGACACGUUUUACAGUCACAGGUCAAUGAGCUAGCUCGUAAGAAUAAUGAAUUGAGAGAAGAAAUUUCGCGACGUGAACUUGAAUUACAGGAAACUUUUACAGAACUUGGUCGUAUGAGUUUUGAAAUGAGCAAGAUUCGAAAUGAAAGCAGACGCCAUAAAAUAUUUCAAAAUACUUAUACUUCACAAGUAGUUUCAACACAAACAGAUGCAGUUGUAUCUGGAGAAUUUCUCAAUGUUAAUGAAGCAGUAGAAAAUGAAAGAAUGUUGCGAUCAGAUGUAGGAAACAUUGAAAUUGAUGGUCAUGGUAAUCAAGAAACUCUUACAUCCACACCAAGUAGUUUAACUGACGAUUUACACAUUGGUGUUCAUCAAAAUAUUGAAAAUAAUUUCCACCUUCUGCUUCUUCGCAUCUCAAACAAGCUUCUCAAGCCUGAGAUAACUGCUCUAAGAAAUUGGGUGGGGACCGAGUUCGAGAUAAGUUCAUCUUUAAGUGUGAUAGAGAUAUUUCAAGAAUUGGUUCGUAAAAGGAUUAUUAAUAUCUUCGAUCUCAGUCGAUUGAAAACAUUUUUUGAUACGCUUUUAAGAUAUGAUAUCAUCUUUCUUAUUGAUAAAUAUCUUCUUGGGGAUUAUUCUCAAUUGAGAAUACGUAAACCAAUCGCAGAACUGGGUUCAUUUCAUCCUGGAUCAACUUCACAAAGUAGACCUUCAUCAUUUGGAGUGUCAUCUUGGCGACAUCACUCCACUUCAAGAGGAAAACGUCACAGAGAUUCUGGGUUUAAUACUACAGCUGGAAAUGAGAUGUCACGUACGAUGUCUGGUUUUGCAACAUCUAACGUUAGAGAAUCACGUGAAUCAACAUCACGACACACGUAUCAUCAAGGUAAUACGGACCAUCCUAGUCCCCUACCACGUGAUCCCAUGGUAGGAAAAGUUCAGUCAAGAAAUAUUAGCACGACAUUACCACGUGAUACAAUCGUGGUAGAUGGUGGAAGAAGUGAUGAUGUUAGUAUCAUUCAAUCAACUGGACAUAGUGAUCAACAAAAUAUUUCACACAAUAACGGAAGCAAUGGACAGAAAUUAUCCAAACCAAUACGACCUGAUGAUUCAGACAGACGUAGUUUGGAGUCAUUUUUUGAUGAAUUGGUCAGCAGUGGUAGCCAAUGGUUGUGUACCCAUUACAAACGUCAUUGUUUUGUUCAGUUUGAGUGUUGUGAUCAAUUUUGGCCUUGUCAUCGUUGUCAUAACAACCAAAGCAGUUGUGGCAAAAAGAAGAAGUUAAAAUCACGUGACGCGAAGCGUGUUAAGUGUGCUCGUUGCGGUUUAGAACAACCAUUUCAACAAUUUUGUUCACGAUGCAAAAUAAAAUUUGCGGAAUAUUUUUGUUCUAUUUGCAAACAUCUCACCGGCACAGAUGAUAAUCCGUAUCACUGUGAUAAGUGUGGUAUAUGCAGAGUUCACAAAGAUCGUUCUUUUCAUUGCGAUGUUUGUGGUGUGUGUCUUGAUAUACAACUGCGUGGUAAUCAUAAAUGUAGAGAAGGUUCUGCACAUGAUGAAUGUUGUAUAUGUUUAGAGGACGCUUUCACUGGAUGUCAAAUCUUGCCGUGUUCUCACAAAGUUCACAAGGAAUGUGCUGUACAAAUGAUUCGCAGUGGAAUGUAGGUUUUCAUUUAUAUCUAUAACAAAGUUUCGUAAUCACGUGUCAGAGGAAACAUAGAGUACAAUAAAAAGGGCUUGGACAUGCUGUAUUUUUUGAUUAUAUGAUAGAUAUACGAUAGAAGUAUGUCUAUAUUAUAUACUUAUGUGCAACUUGAGUUAAAAUAAUAACAGAAACUUUAGUAUCGGUUGAUAUAGCCAACUUAAAUUGAAAAUACUCGAAGAAUUGGUUCUCCACGUUGAUGGUGUAAAAGGUGAAGGCUAAAAUUUUGUUUCUUGAUUUUACUCAAUCCAAAUUUAAUGAGAAGUAAAAGAAGAAAUCGAAAUGCAAAUUGUAAGGUUAGGUGGUGGGAGAAAAUGUAUAAUGUAUUUUCUAAAUAAGGAGGAUAUCCGUUUAAAUAUUUAUAGUUGAGUUGUUGCCAUGUUUAAAUUCCAUAUCGUGAUUCAUUGAUAAGAUAUUUAAUACCUCUCACUAAUGAGCAUUUUGUGUGGCUGACUUAAAUGUUUCGUUGUCUCAAAUUUUUCCCAAUGGAUCGUGGAUAUGAAAUUAUAUGACAGAUUAUAACCUUGGCAUAACUCGUUGUCCAAUAUGUAGAGAAAGUUUUGCUCAUAAACUAGAAAAGAAAUCUACGAAGAAACAACAAAGAAAAUGAUUGCCCAAUAUAGACUAAUGCAUGAGUACCUGAAUUUUUUUCUUGUUAUGGAAGGUUGAAACAAUUAUCCAACGGACCUUUUUUCAUAAUUAUUUUUGUGUUUACAAUUACUUAUAUUUUCAUUUACCUUUUCAACCUCUGUGUUUUAAAAAUGUGUUCAAAGCCUUGAUUCUGUGCAUGUACACGAGGUUGAUUCUGUAUACUUAUAUAGUAGCAUGGUUGAAAUUGUUUACGGGGAAACCCCUCUGAACAUUUAUUUAGCGUGUUGUGUGAUUGAAAAAGUUAAUUUUGUA